AGGCAGAGUUCAGACAUAAAUGCACUGUAUGGAAAGGACAAGGACACAGUUGCGGAUAACAAAAGUAGCUGAAAAAGUUUAACUUUGGAAAAAGUUCUAUAUAAACAAGCGGGGAGGUACUGAGGAAAACGUUCCCUCUUCUUUUUUGAUGACAAGCAUUCUUACUUGUACUUGUACUUAAAUACAUUUGUAAACACAAGUCUCUCGUAGCACAAAGUCAAGAGAAAUACUGAAAGAAAAGUCUACCACGCAUCACACAGGCUGUACAGGAGACAGGAAAUCUGGGAAAUCUUCUUUAAUUAAUGAUGUAAAAAUACCAUUUCCAGUUCUGAUUUAUCCUAAAAUACCAGCCUUCAUCUGGCACCGAUGGAAGCCUAGAAUUUUGUCAGCCCAGAUCUCCUACCACAGCGUGUUUGUUGAGAACGCCAGUUUAGAUAGAAGGCCGUACUUGAGGAAGUUUUAGCAGAAGCUCCUUGGAACUGCUCAGGUUUUCAAGUAGUGCUGCAAGAAGACACACACUGGAGAAAGCACAGAUGAAGCAGACUAACCUGCAUAGGACCUCCUGACUGGAGAUGUCAGGCAUGAAAAGAGAAGAAUCCAAGAAAAAUUAGAGAAGACUGACCUUCCACCCUCAGGGAAAGAACUAAGAGCAUUGCCGCACGCUGCUUGAUUAAAGCGACUUCACCCAGAAGAAACCAGAAUUUGCGGAGUCUGACAACACAACUUUGGCAUAAAAACUUACUGCCUGUAAUGGGUGGGGUCUAGAAAUGACAUCAUAAAACUUUAAAGCCAUGCCAAAAGACAGAUCGAGGAAGUGCGAACAACACUGGCUAAAUUGCUCUGGACCGUCGCAGGGGGUGAAGCUGGUGGGGAAGGCAGGGGUGAAUGUGUAACUGCCCCAAAAGGGAAGGCAGUAAGCGAAGAGAGGCAGGACAGGAGCGGUAAGCAGAAGUUUACUUGUUCAUGCUCUCCUUUUCUCUGUGCAAGGAAGCUGCCAGAAGAACCAAGCUGCCAAAGAAUGGCAGAAGAACUGAGCACAGAGAAACAACAAAAAAUAGACAACUGCAUUAGCACAUGAACUGAAAACAGGGAAGAAAGGUCCAUUACUAGUCCAUCAAGUUUUUCGUUGGCCACAACAGACCACGUGUAACUGUCAGCUAUAAAUAAUGUCACUACACAGAUGAAUGGCAAGUAUUAUGGAGAGGUUUCCUUCUUGAUACACGUUUCAAGUCACCGUUCCACCAAGAUAGUGACUAGUUACUACCGAAACAAGCUAUGGAAUUUUAGCACUGGACACAGGAGUUGUAUGAAAUUAAGAGAUCAUUGUGGCAGCCUUGGAAACGUUCUUCCACAGCCCUUCAGGUGUCAGACACUGAACUGUUCGUCAAGCAAGCUCAGAGUACUUUGAGUGAAUUGCAAAGCCAUCUGUGGAUUUUAACCAGGCAUCGCUUUGCUGCUAUGAUGUUCCGAAAGCAUGCUAGAAGUUACUUGUCUUUAAAUCUUUGGAAUUACUGCCCUCACUUUACAAGAAACACCACAGAGGGAUCAUGGGACGAUGCUGAGCAAGAUUUUCAAAUGAAGAUAUUUCCUUCUCACUGAAAGCAAUUAACAGACUGGAAACGGUAAAACGGUACUUUCAAUAUAUUAAGGGUCACCUUAUCUUAUUUAAUCCCCAUUCCUAUUUCCCUUUUGCCUGUCUCUAAUGAUUAUCUCAAAAAAACGUAUUUUCCUGCCAAAACUGCAAGCUGUACAGGGGGGAAAGGCCUGGCUAGGUUGCGGAUUUAUGCAAAUACGUAUUAAGCGCUAUCAUCACUCCGCUUUCUGUCGUUCGACAAUUCUUACGUCUUGCAAUUUCUCCUGAGCAAAGAAAACUUUGCAGAGUAAACUUCUUUGUGACGCAUGCCAAAGUUUGCUUGGGCCCUACGCCUGUUGGUAUUCCUAUAUGUAUUCCUAAUAUUUAUCAAUAUUCCUAUAUUCCUAUAUGCAGAAUCAAAUUUUCUACCCCAGUAAAUCAAGAAAAACUCUGGUUUUUGGACCUCAGUGGGCUUCAAAAGUCAUGAGUCAACGACAGGUUUUGUUUGACUCGUUUGACUCCCUGAGCAAAGGAUCUAAUCCUAUGCCAGCUGCUAAACUCCCUCAAGUUGUAGGGUAAACUUGAUUUGAAGCUAACCAAUACACUAAUUAGCUGCUAUUUCUAAUAGCUUCACAAAAUGAAACUUGUUUUAAAUGUGACAGUGGUGUGAGAAAAUAAUCUGCUUUGAGUAGCAGAUACUCACCCCUGCUGACAGAAGUGGAAUGUAAAUGCCUGCAGCCUUAUGUUUGCACAGGCUCCUCACACUCACGCUCUCUCACACACGCGCGCACACACCAAGAUUAUUUUCAGGCUUGUGUGAUAGUUCGAGUGAAGUCAGUGGAAAGCCAUUUUUUAAAAAGAGAAAUCUGAGGGACCCAUGCAGCUUUGGCACAAAACAAUGCAAAUGCAGCAUGAAACUGCGCGUACUGAAGAGCGUAAUAUUGCAAAUUAACUUUUCCGGGAUUUGAGAUGCAGAUUGUUUAAAUACGGAAGACUCUGAAUAAUGCCGCUGUCUUAUUAACCCCAUGUAGAGAUGGAUUACUUCCUAAUUUUGUUUUGUUUUGUUUUAUUAUCAUCAUCAUCAGGCAAGGCUGCAUCUUACUUAUUUAGUUGCAAAGAAUGAAGACUUGAGUUUGGAGGAGAGCCGAUUUCUUACCAAAAAAAAAAAGAAAGAAAAAAAGUUAGUUGCUUCAGGCAACAGUCCCUUUGAUCUGCUCAUUAACACUUUUCAAAUGUUCGCGUGAUGUGGGCAUUAGGAAAUGUCAGCACCAGAGCCUGAAGCCAGCUUGAUGCGAUCAUAUGUUCCGAUAUUGAGGGAAGAGUGAAAGAACUGUCAACAGUGAACUGCCUUUAAAAAAAGGGGUGGGGGGAGGAAGAGAAGGAGAAAGGAGUCCCCCUGCCCCGGUCUGUAAGUGUGCACGGGCCUCAGCGCCAGGAACGCUGUCAGAGGGGGUCCCAGCGAGGACGGAGCGGAGUGCCCCAACCACCUGAAGCCCUGCCUGCAGGCAGUCGAGAUGAGGCGCUCGCGUGGCUCUGGAUGCUCAUUCCGCCCUGUCCACAACACCUUCUGCCCCUCUCUCUCUCUCAUAUGCUUCAUUCUGGAGGGCUGCUCCUUUCCUCCUUGCUCCUCUUCUUUGUCCCGUGAAACCAGGCGCUCCACUCGCCAGGAGCAGACUCAGCGGCAGGGACGAGGAGGUCCCAUAACGUGCCGCUCUCGUCAAGGACACUGGCACCACAGCCCAAAACCAGGCAGCCACAAGUGGCCAUAACGUGUACCGUGCGAACCUCGGGUGCGGGAGAGAGGGAAAAGAAUGGAGGCACAGUGUAAUGAUCUGGGGAAACGGGACAGCAAAACAAAAAGAAAGGAACAGCCAGAAUUUGGUAAUAGGUUCAGUGCAACGGUAAGUGGUUUGGGAACUCAGUAUCAUUGUAGCAGUGAGUCCUAAAUGUUAGAGGACUCCAUACUCCCUAUGUUUUCUUUUUAAAGAAAGAAAGAAUAUCCAUGAGAGGUGUGAGGAAACAACAGAGGGCACUAAUAUUUAAAGUGCCAUGGUUUUAUUGCUCCCAUAGAAGUCAGGCUGCUUUUUAGUGAAAACUUACCAAUCUGCAGCUCAAGACUUCCCUAGAAAUAGCCAAUCACUCCUGUACCAAACGCUGUCUCCAGCAAAGACGCUCAGGGUACGUUCCUAUCCCUUAGUAAACAUCAGGGAGGAACAGGCUUAAGCACGAGGUAAAUGAGAACCAAGGGGCAAUUUCUCGCAGCUCGGUGCAGCUGUUUGUGGAGACGUAGCUCCCAGACAGAACCCUGCCCUAAUGCCACCGUGCACCUUCGGCACUCCAGGUGAUAUCUUUGCUCUGCAAUUCAUUAUAGAGGGCAUCUGUUUUAGUUAAUCGGGUCCUGCCGUAGCUGUCCCUCCACAGCUCUGCACGGCGUGUUGAAGUACGCCUGUAAACUGAACUCCUUUCACUUAGAAGAGGCAUCCCAUGUGUAAACCCCAUGCUGAACAAAACCCCAUCCGCUUGGCAAACCACAAAAACUGCACGCGCGACUGAGUAUCAUGUCACCGACUGCGCUUCCAACUGGGAAAGACCGAUUCCGGGCUAAGGUAAAUUAGAGAUGCGUGGAUUACAUUCUGACAGUCAUAUUCAGCUGGUGACAAAAACCAGAGUUUUAGUGAGCUAACUCGUUCUGAGGGCUCUGACAAACUGAAGAAACAUUAGGUUUCCUGAUACCAGUCAACUCAAAAGGAAGUGUGUUUGUCUUGAAAAAAAAAAAAAACAAAAAAAACCAAACCAAACCGAAGAACUUGAGCAGUCACGAAAAGGACAAAAGAAAAUAAGCCGCUUUCAGAAAAGCAGCUCUUGAGAAAGGAUACGAUGAUCCCUCUCAACAACUAUGAACGAGUGGUGAAACGGCGCACUCCGAAGUCUGUAAUUAGCUGACAGGAGACACUGGAAAAAAAAGUCACUUGGCUUCACUUAAGGAUUUAAAUCUUAUUUUAUACGCGUAUUUUUAAAAUAACUAUACUUUGAAACACAAAAUAUUUGCUUUUUUACCCACAUAAGUGUGCUGCAAUGUUAUUUCCUUCAUGUCCUCCACCUCCCUCUCAGCCUGCCCCAGAUGGCAGCUCUACGUGAAAUGCCGAGCUGGAGCCGCCUUCUCCGGACAGAAAGUGUAGACACUAAGAAGUGGGAAGACGGUCUAUGAACCAAGGUUAGCCAAUUAUUUUAAAAUGAGAAAAUAGGAAGCUUUUCCUUUUCCACAGGAAGGCUCCCGAUAUAAAAUCAAGUUGAAGUAAAAUGGCUAACAGACAACCUCCCUGGAUUUCUGAUGGCACUGUCCUGUGCAGAAUGAGGCAGAAGAGAGAGUUUUUGUCAGAGGAGAACUCGUAGGUCUUGCCUCAGAAACCCCAGCCCACGAGGAUGCAGAUGGUGGCUGAGGACCUGUUGCCCUAGGGCAGCCUGGGGCCUGAAGGACUACGGAAACGCUUUUGGUUCCGUGGCUUCGGCAUGGACAGGCGAGAAGGGCAGUUCCUCUGCUGCCCAGGUCCCACAGGCCCAAGAGAAGACGAGGAAUACAGUAACAGCCUGGAAGCGACCUCCACUUCCCAACUCCUCAGCGCUGUCGUGGAACUGGAUGAAUAACAACCGUCACCGAUUUAAAAACCCCAACACGCAAGGAGAUGGAGGAGCGUUAGUGAAACAGCACUGCUGACUGCUGCCAGAAGGAUAAAGAGGGCACUCGGAUGAAAAGAGAUACAAUGGGUCCAAGGGAUUAUUACGACACUAAGGGAUUUCCAACUUGAGAGCCCAUAAUGGACUACAAAUACCAAUUUUAGUGACAGUACUUUUAAAAUAGUCCUUCAUCUCAGGAUAACAUCUGCAUACUAUUACGGCCAACAACUUGCAAAUAAUAGAGAAGGCUUUUAUCAAAGAUAUCACAGAAAUAUAACACGUGCUCGCUCAGCAGCCAGACGCACUGCUAAGAGCACAGUCCACGGUGUUGAAGCUGGUCUUGUCUUCCAUUUAUUGCGUAUCACGAAUGAAAGAAAACUCCCUCUACAGACGGCUUACGUCGCAUGUAGCACUGCUGUUACUUAACCCAUUUCCUACGGUAUCCGUGUUUCCCAGCACGGUCUAUAAUCGUGAGUCACACACUCAAUGACUUUUUCCAGUAAGUC